rnacentral:rRNA from 1 species
CAGUAGCCGCGGUAAUACGUAGGUGGCAAGCGUUGUCCGGAAUUAUUGGGCGUAAAGGGCUCGCAGGCGGUUUCUUAAGUCUGAUGUGAAAGCCCCCGGCUCAACCGGGGAGGGUCAUUGGAAACUGGGAAACUUGAGUGCAGAAGAGGAGAGUGGAAUUCCACGUGUAGCGGUGAAAUGCGUAGAGACGUGGAGGAACACCAGUGGCGAAGGCGACUCUCUGGUCUGUAACUGACGCUGAGGAGCGAAAGCGUGGGGAGCGAACAGGAUUAGAUACCCCCGUAGUCCCUGUCUCUUAUAA